rnacentral:rRNA from 1 species
UACGUAGGGCGCAAGCGUUAUCCGGAAUUAUUGGGCGUAAAGAGCUCGUAGGCGGUUUGUCGCGUCUGCCGUGAAAGUCCGGGGCUCAACUCCGGAUCUGCGGUGGGUACGGGCAGACUAGAGUGAUGUAGGGGAGACUGGAAUUCCUGGUGUAGCGGUGAAAUGCGCAGAUAUCAGGAGGAACACCGAUGGCGGAAGCAGGUCUCUGGGCAUUAACUGACGCUGAGGAGCGAAAGCAUGGGGAGCGAACAGG